rnacentral:lncRNA from 1 species
CUCACAGUGCGCUUAGUCAACACCACAACCUCAGGAGGCAGGUUCUAUUGUUAUUCCCAUUUUGCAGACAAGGUUUAGAGAAAUUAAGUAAUCUGCUCAGACCACAUACCUAGGAGGUAGUGAGCCUGGAUUUAUGCCAUAAUGGCCAUUUUGGGAACUUGUCUGAAAAUUCCUCUGGGUUAUUUCAGAAUCCAGUUGUCAGCCUGGUCUUUAGAAAGGGUUGCAGUAGAGGCCAGUUGUCUCUCCCACACACCUGGAGACAUUUCAGGUCUGGAGGGCUAACCUGAAUCAGAGGGAAUGGGCUUUCAGCUGGCAUAAGACCUGAGGCCAUAUUCAUAAAGUUAAUUCGUUUUGCUUCCUUCUCUUUUGAGGAGUUUUCCUAGUCUGCCCCAGGCAAAGUCAAAGAGGCUGUGAAGGUGGCCAUUGAUGAAGGAUACCAUCCAUGGACUGUGCCUAUCUUUACAAGAAUGAGAAUGAUUUGGGGGAAGCCAUUCGAGAGAAGAUCCAAGAGAAGGUUGUGAAGAGGGAGGACCUCUUCACUGUUGUCAGGAGGAGACGAUGGGGCAGACAGCCACUGGUCUGGAUGGGAGGCCGAGUCCAUGUGUGGCUGCGGAGACUGACCGCUUGCCUGUUUUCUCUCAGUUGCAUCUUAAAGAAUCAUGAUUUCUGGCAGCCCAGCCUGGGGAGGACUUUGUUCCCAAAGAUGAUAAAGGCAUUGUCCUUACCAGCAAAACAACAUUCUCGGAUGUCUCGGAAGUAGGUUCCAUCUUCUUCUAAGUGUACUGGGAGUGAAAACUUUCCUUCAGUCAUCCACAAGGAUCUACAGUGGUGUGAAGGAGCCCACGUUCUGUUCUUGGUGCUAUUUCAUUCCAUUGUCAUUCUCCAAUUCUUUGAACUCCUUCCUAAUUUCUUUUGGCUUUUGGGUCAAUUUGACACUAUUUAUGUUUUCAAAGGCUAAAACUGAGUCCUCAAAUGAGGCUGGGAAUAUAAUAUACCUCAGUUUGGAGGAUACACUGCUGUUCUCACACCAGGGGGAGGGAUUUGAACGCAGUGUCACUCUAGGUUUGCGUGUCUUAGCUGAGUAUCCUAGGGUGAGUUAUUUAACUCCAAUAAGCCUCAGUUUCUGCCUCUUGAAAAAAAAGCCUUUUUGUUUUUAAAGUGAUUUUUACAUGUGAUUUUUUUUUCUUGAGGAAGAUUAGCCCUGAGCUAACUACUGCCAGUCCUCCUCUUUUUUGCUGAGGAAGACUGGCCCUGAGCUAACAUCCAUGCCCAUCUUCCUCUACUUUAUAUGUGGGACGCCUACCACAGCAUGGCGUGCCAAGCAGUGCCAUGUCCACACCUGGGAUCCGAACCUGCGAACCCCGGGCCACCAAAGUGGAAUGUGCGCACUUAACUGCUGAGCCACCAAGCCGGCCCCCUGGGCCUUCCUUGAUUAAAAAGGUUAGGUUUUAGGAUAAACAGAUUAGGUUCCUAUUAAUGAACUAUAUGACAUUUUUUGCGUCAUUUGAAUUUAAUCAAACAGGGGUAAAUAAGUAAGCUGAUAUGGAGAAAUGCUGUAUUUUAAAAAAAGCAACUUCCUGGUUAUUCCUGAUUUUAUUUUCCACAAUUAUAUCUCAAGUAACGAGAGCUUUGCUGGCCUCAGGGUCCUCAAUCUCACAA